rnacentral:sRNA from 1 species
AAUGAAAAAAUAUGUGUAAUUAUAACCCUUUUACAAG